rnacentral:rRNA from 1 species
GAUGAACGCUGGCGGCGUGCCUAAUACAUGCAAGUCGAGCGAACAGACGAGGAGCUUGCUCCUCUGAUGUUAGCGGCGGACGGGUGAGUAACACGUGGAUAACCUACCUAUAAGACUGGGAUAACUUCGGGAAACCGGAGCUAAUACCGGAUAACAUGUUGAACCGCAUGGUUCAACAGUGAAAGACGGUCUUGCUGUCACUUAUAGAUGGAUCCGCGCCGCAUUAGCUAGUUGGUAAGGUAACGGCUUACCAAGGCAACGAUGCGUAGCCGACCUGAGAGGGUGAUCGGCCACACUGGAACUGAGACACGGUCCAGACUCCUACGGGAGGCAGCAGUAGGGAAUCUUCCGCAAUGGGCGAAAGCCUGACGGAGCAACGCCGCGUGAGCGAAGAAGGUCUUCGGAUCGUAAAACUCUGUUAUUAGGGAAGAACAAAUGUGUAAGUAACUAUGCACGUCUUGACGGUACCUAAUCAGAAAGCCACGGCUAACUACGUG